rnacentral:rRNA from 1 species
CUACGGGGUGCAGCAGCUAGGAAUAAUCUACAAUGCACGCAAGUGUGAUAGUUUGAGCCAGAGUGCUUUUCAAUGAAAAGCUUUUGCCAAGUGUAAAAAGCUUGGCGAAUAAGGACUGGGUAAGACGAGUGCCAGCCGCCGCGGUAAUACUCGCGGUCCAAGUCGCAGCCAUAUUUAUUGGGUCUAAAACAUCCGUAGCUUGCUUGAUAAGUUUCUUGUGAAAUCCUGUUCCUCAAGUUCAGGGCGCGCAGGAAGUACUGUCGAGCUAGAGACUGGAAGACGUAAGAAGUAUGUUCAAAGUAGUAGUAAAAUGCAUUAAUCUUGAGCAGACUCUCAAUAGCGAAGGCAUCUUACGAGGACAGUUCUGACAGUAAGGGAUGAAGGCUAGGGUCGCGAAAGGGAUUAGAUACCCCUGUAGUC